GAUGAACGCUAGCGGGAGGCCUAACACAUGCAAGCCGAGCGGUAGAGAUCUUUCGGGAUCUUGAGAGCGGCGUACGGGUGCGGAACACGUGUGCAACCUGCCUUUAUCAGGGGGAUAGCCUUUCGAAAGGAAGAUUAAUACCCCAUAAUAUAUUGAAUGGCAUCAUUUGAUAUUGAAAACUCCGGUGGAUAGAGAUGGGCACGCGCAAGAUUAGGUAGUUGGUAGGGUAACGGCCUACCAAGUCAGUGAUCUUUAGGGGGCCUGAGAGGGUGAUCCCCCACACUGGUACUGAGACACGGACCAGACUCCUACGGGAGGCAGCAGUGAGGAAUAUUGGACAAUGGGUGAGAGCCUGAUCCAGCCAUCCCGCGUGAAGGACGACGGCCCUAUGGGUUGUAAACUUCUUUUGUAUAGGGAUAAACCUUUCCACGUGUGGAAAGCUGAAGGUACUAUACGAAUAAGCACCGGCUAACUCCGUG
rnacentral:rRNA from 1 species